UACGGAGGGAGCUAGCGUUGUUCGGAAUUACUGGGCGUAAAGCGCACGUAGGCGGCUUUUUAAGUUAGAGGUGAAAGCCCGGGGCUCAACUCCGGAAUUGCCUUUAAGACUGCAUCGCUUGAAUCCAGGAGAGGUGAGUGGAAUUCCGAGUGUAGAGGUGAAAUUCGUAGAUAUUCGGAAGAACACCAGUGGCGAAGGCGGCUCACUGGACUGGUAUUGACGCUGAGGUGCGAAAGCGUGGGGAGCAAACAGG
rnacentral:rRNA from 1 species